rnacentral:lncRNA from 1 species
AUGAACAAAUUUUUUUUUAGGCUGUUUGCGUUGAGAAUUAUUCAAUAUGCAUCUCUCUUGUAGGGUGUGAUUUAAGAAUGAAUUAGCUGCUAUUCAUAGAAAGCCAAAUGACAGCAUAACAGUUCCUUCAUUGGUUUAUAUUCUUAUAAAAAGAAUCAGACAUAAAUGAUUUGCUUAGCAAGGUUUCGUAGCCAUUUAUUGUUUAAGAUAUAAAACAUAUUUUUUGUUGAAUUUAAGAUCUGUCUGCAAUAAAUUUGUAUUAUUCUGCUACCAUCUAUGUAUGUGAUGUUUAACUAUGAAAUGAAAUGAAAACAAAAUCUGUUAUAGACAACAGUUAUUCAUAAGACAAUAACUAAUAAAAUACGGAACAAAAUCACAGGCAUAAGUCUAUUAUAGACACAGUUUUAUAUUAUUUACAUUUUUUUUAUAAACAAUUGACUCAGAAAUAGUUUGAAUUGUGAUAAAUAUACUGUUGAGAUUUUUUUCACAACACCAUGUAGAUGCUCUUGUGCUUCAUUCAUUGGGACUGUUGAAACAAAUCCAGUCAUGUGUACUUUACUUUGAUAUAAAAACUAGGAUGUAGGACAAUGUUAAAUGUUACAAUGUGGUCAUAAUGUUAUAGAUAGACAGAUUAGGUCUUCAGUUCUGUUAUAUAAAGAGUUUGCUAUAUAUUAUUAUAUAUAUUGUAUAGAUUAUAUGUUUUUAUAUAUAUUAUAUAUAUUAUAUAUUAUUAUAUAUUUUUAUAUAUAUUAUAUAUAUUAUAUAUUAUUAUAUAUUUUUAUAUAUAUUAUAUAUAUUAUAUAUUAUUAUAUAUAUUAUAUAUUACUAUAUAUAUUAUAUAUUAUUAUAUAUAUUAUAUAUUAUUAUAUAUAUUAUAUAGAUUAAAAAGCAUAAAAAGCACCAUCCGAACGUGGCCGAUGCCAGCGUCGCCUUGACUGGCUUCCGUGCCGGUGCCACGUUAAAAGCACCAACCGAUCGUGGCCGAUGCCAGACUCCCCAGGCACCUGUACUGGUGGCACGUAAAAAGCACCCACUACACUCGCGGAGUGGUUGGCGUUAGGAAGGGCAUCCAGCUGUAGAAAUACUGCCAGAUCAGACUGGAGCCUGGUGCAGCCCCUGGCUUCCCAGACCCUGGUCGAACCGUCCAACCCGUGCUAGCAUGGAAAACGGACGUUAAACGAUGAUGAUGAUGAUUAUAUAUCAUUAUAUAUAUUAUAUAUAUUAUAUAUUAUUAUAUACAUUAUAUAUUAUUAUAUAGAUUAUAUAGAUUAUAUAUCAUUAUAUAUAUUAUAUAUUAUUAUAUAUAUUAUAUAUUAUUAUUUUAAUUAUAUUAUUAUAAUUAUAUUAUUAUAAUUAUCUUAAUUAUAUUAUUCUUUUAAAACAUUUUCAAUAAUUUUAAUAAAAAUAAGUCUAGGCUAUGACUGUGUAGUAAGAAGUUUGCUUCUCAACCACAUGUUUCUGGGUUCUUCAGUUCCACUACAUGGUACUGUGGACAAAUGUGUUCUAUUAUAGUUGCAGGCCAACCAAAGCCUUGUCUGUGGAUUUGGUUGAUGGAAACUGAAAGAUGCUCAUCCAUCCAUAAAAUAUAUCUGCCUCAAUAACCAGCAACCCAUGAAAGCAUGGAAUAGUGGAUGCUAAAAUGAUGGCGAUGAUGAUAGUCACUGUGGAAAGAUGAACAGAAGUAAAGUAUUUUAUCAUGGAUGUGCAUAAGCAUAUUCAUUGAUUGGUAAAAAGAUGAAAAUAGUAGAUAAUAACUCUCAAUGUAUGAAGAGGAACAUCAUCAUCAUCAUCAUCAUCGUUUAACGUCCGUUCUCCAUGCUAGCAUGGGUUGGACGGUUCGACCGGGGAUCUGGGAAGCCAGAAGGCUGCACCAUGCUCCGGUCUUAUCUUGCAAUGUUUCUACAGCUGGAUGCCCUUCCUAAUGCCAACCACUCCAUGAGUGUAGUGGGUGCUUUUUACGUGCCACCUGCACUGGUGCCAGGCGAGGCUGGCAUCGGCCACGGUCGGAUUGGUGUAUUUUACGUGCCACCUGCACAGAAGCCAGUCGAGGUGGCACUGGCUUCAGCCACGAUUCGGAUGGUGCUUUUUACGUGCCACCGACAUGGAAGCCAGUCGAGGCGGCACUGGCAUCAGCCAUGAUUCGGAUAGUGCUUUUUACGUAUCUCCAGUCCAGGCAUCCUGGCAUCUGCCGGGUGCCAGUCAUAGGAUUGGUUCAAUUUCGAUUCCGAUUUCACUUGCCCCAACAGGUCUUCGCAAGCAAAGGGGGGUUGGCAUAGGUGCCUGUCGUUGGAUGAGGUUCGAUAUCGACUUCGCUUGCCUCAACAGGUCUUUGUGUGUCCAAGGGAGGAAAAAAAGAAUAUAGUUUUCAAAGGUGUUCUCAGACUGCAGACAGUGUAAAAUUCACUACCUAUGUGGCUUUACUUCAAUUCAAAUAUCAAACACUUCAUUAAAAGUACAAUUUCAAAAGAAAUUGUCUUUCAUAGUUUUCUACAAAUAUUCAAUAAUCUUCUCAUUUUCAAAAUAUUCAUGAAAUUUCCAAGAGUAAAAAUAGUGUAAAUUUAAUUCUAUUUCUUUUCAUCUGUUUUAAGUAGAAGUGCAUCUAUAUUUCAAUGGUAUAUGGAGUAAAUGGUGAAGGCGCAUGGCUCAGUGGUUAGAGCGUCGAGCUUACGAUCGUGAGGUUGUGAGCUCGAAUCCUGGGCCGGGCUGCGUGUUGUGUUCUUGAGCAAGGCACUUUAUUUCACGUUGCUCCAGUUCACUCAACUGUAGAAAUGAGUUGCGACGUCACUGGUGCCAAGCUGUAUCGACCUUUGUCUUUCCCUUGGAUAACACUGGUGGCGUGAAGAGGGGAGGCUGGUAUGCAUGGGCGACUGCUGGUCUUCCAUAAACAACCUUGCCCUGACUUGUGUCUAGGAGGGUAACUUUCUAGGUGCAAUCCCAUGGUCAUUCAUGACCGAAGGGGGUUUUUAUCCUUUAUGGAGUAAAUUGCUCUCCUGAACUGAAAUGGGGCAAGUCAAAUCAAUCCGCAUAUUUAAUUCAAUGUUUUUAAGUGAUUAUUUGCUGGGAAGUGAGGGCAAAGAGCAAGUUCCACAGAAACAGAAAGUUUUAUGGUUGAUUGGUAGGUUGGUAGAUAAGUAAGUAGACAGACAGACAGACAAACAGAUAGGCAGACAGAUAUGAGAUUAAACAAAGCAUUUUGUGUGGUAGUGUUUCGAGAGACUCAUUGUGUUGAUGUCAAUAUGAAGAAUGAGACAAUUACAACUGGGUGAAGUCAGUGUGAUUAAAGGCUCAAUCUGAAUCAUAUAAAAUAAUUUGUAUAACAGGCAUGCAGUAUGAUAUAUUAUUAGUGAUAUGGAAAGCUGACAAGUAACCAAAGGCCUUAUGAAACAAAGAAAGGAAACAGCUUAAAAUUGUUAUCCAUGACAUUGAUUGUAUCAAAAAAUAUAUCUCUAUAUUAAGAAUCAUGUCAGAACACUAACAGAUAUGACAGCAAAGAUCUUUAUCUUAAAACUAGCAGUAUCGCCCGGCGUUGCUCGGGUUUGUAAGGGAAAAAACAAUAUAAGCAUUUUUAGAGAGUUACUUCCCUUAUAUAAUAGCAAAAAGUUGCAUUAAAAAUGGGAAAAAAUUAUGGAAAAAUUUUUUUUAAAUCGUAGACUCAUCGUAGACAUGCGCUAAUACCCAGAAUGGCUCGAUAUGAAUCACGACUAUAAGAUACCUGCUUUUGGUUACACUGCACCGCAAAAUGUGGGAGUAGUUACGAAUCUAAAUCGUAGGAGACAGACACACAACUUCACUUUUAUAUAUAAAGAUAUCUGAUAAUAUUGGUGCAGGUGUGGCUGUGUGGUAAGAAGUUUGUUUCCCAUCCACAUGGUUCCAGGUUCAGUCCCAUUGUGUGAUACCUUGGGCAAGUGUCUUCUACUAUAGCCCCAGGAGUGGAUUUGGUAGUUGGAAACUCUGUGUGUGUGUGUGUGUGUGUGUGUGUGUGUGUGUGUAUGUAUGUGUGUGUGUUGGGUUUGUCUUCACUUUACCACUUGACGAUUGGUGUUGGUCUGUUUAUGUUUCUGUAACUUAGUAGUUCAUCAAAAGAGACUGAUAGAAUGAGUACUAGGUUUAAAGUUAAGUACUGGAGUCAUUUGUUCAGCUAAACAUCAAGAUGGUGUCGCAGCAUGGCCGCAGUCCAAUGACUAAAACAGUAAAAGAUAAAAGAUAACUUUACAUCAAUGACAGAUAUAAGGAAAUAGAUGCUUUAGCUAUAAUUUUCCUUUUUUUGCAAAUUAACCAAGAAUUUUGUGAUUCUCUCCCAAGUGGUUAUAAGGUUUUCAGACCUUAACCCUUUAGCAAUCAGAUAUUCUCUCAGUUGUUAUACUUAUUUAUUCACAUUGCUUUGGGCUAAUCAUACAUUAUCUCAUAAAUUCAAAAUUUCUAUGAUGUGAUUGUUUAUUUUUUAGAAUGACAUUGUAGGGGAGGUGUAAGACACCAGAUCUGGCUGGCUUGGACUUAAAACAGGAAGAAUAUUUUGACCAGAUAUGGCCAUUUUAAAUGCUAAUGGGUUAAAAUAGUAAAAUUGUUGGAAGUAAGAAGAUCCAAUGAGGGAGAAGUAUAAUUAAAGAAUAAUAACUAGGUCAGGUGAUUAAUAAGCAGUUCACAAAAAGAAAGUAUUGUAAUUAUUAAUUCAUAUAUUAAGUCUGCUCUAAAGAAUUGGCCAUGAGGGGAAUUACAGAAACAAGUUCAUCAAUUCUGAUUGAUUAAGUGCCAUAUCUAUUAAAAUGUAUCCAUUGAGAGUAGCCAUAUUUUAUACCUUGAGGGGGUUUACAACUACAUUAGGUAUAAACUUAUGAAAGGAAAUCUCUGCAAGAUGUCAGGUUUGGCAGGGAUGGUAAAUGUAAUUGAUAUGUAACUUUGAAGAGUGGUAAAUCAUUACACUGUAGUGCCAAGGGGAGGAAAGAUCCCCUUUUCAGUGCAGUGAUUUAAAUGUUAAUUUUGAUAUAUUCUCUAAUUACAUAGCUUAAUUUUUAGAUGAGAGAUGCAGUAAUUACCAAGAAAUGAAGUACCAGUGAAUGAGUCAUUGACAUUAUUUGAACAUGAAAUGCUAUGUUUCUGAAUCAGAAGAACCUCCCUGAAGAUAAGGAUAGUUGUUCUACCACCUGAAAAGGAAAAGGUGAUAAAAAUAGUAAUUACCAAUAUUAUGGAAAGAUGUAGUCAAAUAAAUAAGGAAUAUUUCUGUCUAGUUUAAUUCAAGCUAACUGAUAGUAUUGUUGAAUUUAAGUUACAUCUAACACCUAAUGAGUGAAUGACUACAAUUUCUUAGAGAUUUUAUUCCAUAUUUUGAUCUUAUGAAUGUCUAUUAGUGUCAUAUUAUCUACAUUUAAUGUAGGCCUAUAUUACUAUAUUUUGGUCUCCACACAUGAUGUAAGGCUAUACUAAUGUAUUAGUUUCUAUUGGAACUACUAUAUAUAUAUAUAUAUAUAUAUAUAUAUAUAUAUAUACAUACAUACAUACAUACAUACAUACAUACAUACAUACAUACAUAUAUAUAUAUAUAUAUAUAUAUAUAUAUAUAUAUAUAUAUAUACACUAGCAUUAAAGACCCGUUGUUGCCGGGUCAUAGUGCUAGUGCAUGUAUAUAUGUGUAUAUAUAUAUAUGUACAUAUUACAUGUACAUCUAUAUAUAUAUACAUCUACACAUAAAAUGCAAAAUACAAAGUUAUAUCUUGAUAUCGCUAGUGAUAACAAUACUAAAAAUAUAUAACAGACUGGAAUUGCUAACUCUUCUUUUUUCUCUACAUUCUAUACUUUAUAGACAGUAGUUUUUUCUUUAAUUUAAUUUUUUAUUAUCCAUCUGGACUAUUCCAUUUCUGCACGCUUAUUUUAUUUUAAAUUUAUUCCCAUUCAUGUGAAACCACUUCUUCAAAUUCAAAUCAUUGAUGCAAUUUUAUACCAAUUGCUAUUUUUACUUUUGUUAUGUUACGAUUAUUUUAUACUUUAGUUUGAUUUUAAUUAUUACUUACUACAUAUAAUUCAAUUUUUAUUAUUAUUUUUAUUGUUAAAGUGAAAGCAUCUGACAUGAAAUAGAGAAAUAUUUUUGUUUCACUUUUAACAUGUAAUACUGAAAUAGUGGAGAAGAUAUGAUAUUGCUAUGGGCUCACUCUAGGCAAGAAGUUGAACAUUUUUUUUGCCCAUGAAACUACAUGGACCCUAAGUAAGGCAUGUGUAAAAUUUGAAUGAAAUUGGUUGUGUAGUUUUCAAGUUUUAGGGAAUCGUAGUGGAGAAGAUAUGAUAUUGCUGUGGGCUCGCCCUUGGCAAAAAGUUCAAAAUUUUUUGCCAAUGACACUCCCCGGACCCUAAGUAAGGAUGUGUAAAAUUUGAAUAAAAUUGGUUGUGUAGUUCUCAAGAUGUAAAACUGAGAAUGUGUGUCUAUCUGUCUCUCUGUUUGUGUGUAUCCCUAAAACUUGAGAACUACACAACCAAUUUCAUUCAAAUUUUACACAUGCCUUACUUAGGGUCCAUGUAGUAUCAUGGGCAAAAUUUUUUUUAACUUUUUGCCUAGUGCGAGCUCACAGCAAUAUCAUAUCUUCUCUACUAUUUCUGUAUUAUGUGUCAAAAGUGAAGCAAAAACAUCUCUCUCUCUAUUGUAAUAUCAGAUACUUUCUCUUUAAUACUUUCACUUUAAUACCGAAACUAUUAAAGCUGGACAUCCAUAAUGCUAGAAGAUCUGCUAUGGUCUUAUAUGCUACACCACUGGUUUUAAAUUCAUAUUAUUCAAAUUAAUAUUGAAUUUUUCACCCUUAUUAUUUUAAAUUUAAAUUUACAUGUAUAUAUAUCUUUAUCUUUUUAUCUUUUACUUGUUUCAGUCAUUUGACUGCGGCCAUGCUGGAGCACCGCCUUUUUAGUCGAGCAAAUCGAUCCCAGGACUUAUUCUUUGUAAGCCUAGUACUUAUCCUAUCGGUCUCUUUUGCCGAACCACUAAGUAACGGGGACGUAAACACACCAGCAUCGGUUGCCAAGCGAUGUUGGGGAGACAAACACAGACACACAAACACAUAUAUAUACAUAUAUAUAUACGACGGGCUUCUUUCAGUUUCCGUCUACCAAAUCCACUCACAAGGCUUUGGUCGGCCUGAGGCUAUAGUAGAAGACACUUGCCCAAGGUGCCACGCAGUGGGACUGAACCCGGAACUGUGUGGUUGGUAAGCAAGCUACUUACCACACAGCCACUCCUGCACCUAUAUAUAUAUAUAUAUAUGUAUACAUAUAGAUGUGUAUAUAUAGAUGUAUAUAUAUAUCUAUAUCUAUCUAUCUAUAUAUAUAUAUAUAUAUAUAUAUAUAUAUAUAUAUAUAUAUAUACAUCUAUAUAUACACAUCUAUAUGUAUACAUAUAUAUAUAUAUAUAUCAUCAUCAUCAUCAUCAUCAUCAUUUAAUGUCUGCUUUCCAUGCUAGCAUAGGUUGGACAAUUUGACUGAGGAUUGGCGAACCAGAUGGCUGCACCAGGCUCCAAUCUGAUCUGGCAGAGUUUCUACAGCUGGAUGCCCUUCCUAAUGCCAACCACUCCGAGAGUAUAUAUAUAUAUAUACUCAUGUAUAUAUAUGGAUGUGUUUGUGUAUAUAUAUAUAUAUAUAUAUAUAUAUAUAUAUAUAUAUAUAUAUAUAUAUAUAUAUAUAUAUAUAUAUAUAUAUAUAUAUAUAUAUAUAUAUAUAGAGAGAGAGAGAGAUGUACCUGCAUAGCAAGUGAUUUAAUCUGAGAUCGUGUGCUGAAACGAAAACAAUUGCAGCGUGGAAGGUGUUUGUAAGCCAUUUAAGAAACACACAAAAGCCGUUCGAUUCACUUCAACAUUUAAGUUUAAUGUGUCAAAAUAUUUUCGUCGCUUUAAGACCGUGACCUGUUCACUGACAAAAAAUCUGUGUUGCAUCUCUGUUUGCCUACUCAGUUGUAUCUAUCAAUUUAUCUUUGUGUGUAUGUGUGUGUGUGUAUAACACCCUAACGAGGGCCUUAACUCCCAAAUUUUAGUCAUUACUUUUAUGAUCCAAAACUAGGUCAAAAGUACUGAAUGGAUCUUUAUGAAAUUUGGAAGUUAUAUUCUAUGCAUAAGGGCCAUAACCCCCAUGACAAUUCAUAUAUUUUUGCUGUUGAUGAAAUUUUAACCAUAGAUAUUAGACACAAAUGAAGUAAUAUUUAUAAAAUUUCAUCUUCUUACAAGUUAGAAAAACCCCUCCAUGAGGACUUAACACCCACAAUUUUGUCAUUUAAUCUAAGCAAAGACAAAUACAGUUGUACUCUUGGAAGCUGUAGGGUUACCCGAGCAUAAAAGAUGAGCAUUAUUUGUAAUUCAGUGGUACAACAGUAUAACAGUUUGCUUUGACAUACACUUACAUUGUGAUUUCUGCAAUAUGGUGCAUAAAUUGUCAAGUAAAUGAGAGGCAUCUUUGCCUCCACUGAUUCAGUUGCAAAGUGUUGAGUAAAGUUAUUUGAUUGCAGACCUCCUUUCAAUCUUUUUAUUAUCACUGGGUCACACAUAGUCCCCAGAUGGUAACAUUGAUUUCAAGACCUUCCCAGAUGAGUGACUGGUUAUUCAAAGACAUUUAUAGAUUGUAAAUUUAUUCUGUCCAGUUACGUAUUAGUAUAGUGGUCAUUUGCAAACUCCAGAGGUGACACUUUCAUUUCUCCUUAGCCCUCAUGUCACACAGUUGUUAAUGUUUAUUUCAGUUGGGUCACACCCUUCCAAUUGCUAUAGAUUCGUAAUGCAUCUUACAGCUGUGCCUGUCACCUGGAUGGUGAGGAAUCCUACAUUGGGAGUGGUAACAACUAGGGUAGGGUAGCUGACUGCUUAUUGUGAUCAUUCGUCUUUUGGUUUUCUGUAGCUUUGCUCUCUUUUACAAACCCAGUGAACAUAUAUUUCCUAUUUCAAAGAAAUUCAAACAACAGAUAUAAGACCCAAGUUUAAAAGAUUCUCAACAAUUCAACUUCUCUGCUUGACAUUAAGACACCCACUCCAACAGGGCCUUCACUCUCACAUUUUAGAGCUCCAUGACCUUCAUUUUUCAGGUGCAAAAUCCUUUUAACAGGUUCAAUAAGACUGGAAUUUUAGAAUAUGCACAUAAAAAUUAGUAGUAUGGGAUACAUGUGGCAUGAUUACAAUUUUUUUAGGGUGUGUAAAGAGGGAAAUAACCCUCAUCUGCAAUUUUGAUGAAAUUCGAAACAUAGAUAUUCCAGUUCAUUACAGAAAAUAUAACAGAAAAGUCUAAUUCUUCAAUUGCAUGUAACACGGGCAAUGCCGGGUAUCUCUGCUAGUAUAUAUAUGGUUUUUACACUAUAUACAUACAUACGCAGACACACACACAUAUAUGGUUUUUACACUAUUUGUAUAUAGUCAUGGACUGGCAAUUCAGUUUUGCUCCAAUUCAGUUCAGCUAUGGCAAAGCAUCGAUGCCCAUCACUGCUGAAUGGGAUUUGGGGUGAGUUGUCUUGCCUCUCUAUGACUUCCAGGUGUUUUAACACAUGGCACUUUGAGCUAAAUUGCUGCCUACUGAUGGAUAAAUAAAGCACAUAUAUUGAGUAUGUGUGUUCGGAUAUAUAUAUAUAUAUAUAUAUAUAUAUAUAUAAGGCAAGCUGGUUGAAUAGUUAACAUGUUAGACAAAAUGCUUAGUGGAAUUUCUUCACUCAAAUCCUGUAGAGAUCCCUUUGGGAUCGAUAAAAUAAAGUACUAGUCAAGAACUGGGGUUGAUGUAAUAGGCUUGUUCCCUCCCCUUAAAAUUGCUAGCCUUGGACCCUUCUAACAAACCAGUGUCCUGUUCAGGGACAUGUUGUGAUCACAGUAACUUGUACACCAUGGAAACCAUGUAACUGGUCUUAUGAAUCCUAGAUUUCAAGAAAAAGAAGUACAUGCGUAUAUAAAAAAUACAUAUGUAUGUGUAUGUAUGGCACCUUGCUAUACUCAAGAAGACCUGUCCUCCACAGCAGAAGUGUUAAUGACACUCCUGCUGAAGAAGAUUCGCCUGCAAGGGCCUUGUGCCAGUAUCACAUAAAAAGUGCAGCUACUGGUGCACUGUAAAAGCACCCAUGCUGGUGCCAUAUAAAAGGCACCCAGCACACUCUGGAAAGUGGUUGGUGUUAGGAAUGGCAUCCAGCCAUAGAAACCAAGCCAAAUCAGACUGGAACCUGGUGUAGCUCUCCUACUUGCCAGCUCUGGUCGAACUGUCCAACCUAUGCCAGCAUGGAAAACAGACAUUAAAUGAUGAUGAUGGUGAUGCUAUAUAUAUAUAUAUAUAUAUAUAUAUAUAUAUAUAUAUAUAUACUGUAUAUAUGUAUGAAUGUAUGCAUAUGUGUGUGUGUGUGUGUGUGUGUAAAUAAUUAUAUAUGACUAGUGAUACAGACUAAAAACCAAAGAUGCCACAUCAAACAAUUAUUUUUCAUCCUUUUAUUCCAAAAUAAGAUUGUAAUCCACGACUUUUAAUGAGAAAUGAAAUUAUUUGAAUUAAAGAAGAUCAAUGAAACCAUUAUUGAGACAUUGCAAACAAGAGUGAAUGACUAUGUAUCAAAGUUCAUUUAAUUAAGGAAAAAAUUAUAUUGAUCUGAAUGGAUCAAAACAAACUGGGGUAUAUAUAUAUAUAUAUAUAUAUAUAUAUAUAUAUAUAAACACUCAUACAUAUAUAUACACAGGGGUUGGACAAAAUAAUGGAAACAUCUAGCAUCAUAAUUUUGAAAUAUCUAUAAAAAUCAUCAAAAGCUUGUUUAUUUUUAUGCCUUUUUUGAUUUAUUAAUAGUGUGUUUAAUAUGUUUUUGCCAAAAUUGCUGUUUCUUUUCAGAUAUGAGAAAAAAGGUAAUUAAAAUUCAUUAAAAUG